rnacentral:rRNA from 1 species
GAUGAACGCUAGCUACAGGCUUAACACAUGCAAGUCGAGGGGUAACAAGAGGAAAGCUUGCUUUCCUUGUCGACGACCGGCGCACGGGUGAGUAACGCGUAUCCAACCUGCCCCCAACUAGGGAAUAACCUUGCGAAAGUAAGACUAAUACCCUAUAAUUUCCUCAGAUGUCAUCUGACGAGGAAUAAAGAUUUAUCGGUUGUGGAUGGGGAUGCGUCUGAUUAGCUUGUUGGCGGGGUAACAGCCCACCAAGGCAACGAUCAGUAGGGGUUCUGAGAGGAAGGGCCACCACAUUGGAACUGAGACACGGUCCAAACUCCUACGGGAGGCAGCAGUGAGGAAUAUUGGUCAAUGGGCGGAAGCCUGAACCAGCCAAGUAGCGUGCAGGAUGACGGCCCUAUGGGUUGUAAACUGCUUUUAUACAGGAAUAAAGUUAGCCACGUGUGGUUAUUUGUAGGUACUGUAUGAAUAAGGACCGGCUAAUUCCGUGCCAGCAGCCGCCGUAA